GGUGCCUUCGGGAACCGUGAGACAGGUGCUGCAUGGCUGUCGUCAGCUCGUGUUGUGAAAUGUUGGGUUAAGUCCCGCAACGAGCGCAACCCUUAUCCUUUGUUGCCAGCGGUUAGGCCGGGAACUCAAAGGAGACUGCCAGUGAUAAACUGGAGGAAGGUGGGGAUGACGUCAAGUCAUCAUGGCCCUUACGACCAGGGCUACACACGUGCUACAAUGGCGCAUACAAAGAGAAGCGACCUCGCGAGAGCAAGCGGACCUCAUAAAGUGCGUCGUAGUCCGGAUUGGAGUCUGCAACUCGACUCCAUGAAGUCGGAAUCGCUAGUAAUCGUGGAUCAGAAUGCCACGGUGAAUACGUUCCCGGGCCUUGUACACACCGCCCGUCACACCAUGGGAGUGGGUUGCAAAAGAAGUAGGUAGCUUAACCUUCGGGAGGGCGCUUACCACUUUGUGAUUCAUGACUGGGGUGAAGUCGUAACAAGGUAACCGUAGGGGAACCUGCGGUUGGAUCACCUCCUUACCUUAAAGAAGC
rnacentral:rRNA from 1 species